rnacentral:siRNA from 1 species
AAAGUUUGGUCUAGAUCCGCCA